rnacentral:rRNA from 1 species
GUACAGGACGGGUCGGACGGCGCGGGAGUACGUAGGGUGCGAGGGUUGGCCGGAAUUAUGUGGGUGAAAGGGCUUGUAGGUGGGUUGGAGCGGCGGCUGUGAAAAUCCGAGGCUCAACCUCGGACUUGCAGUGGGUACGGGCAGAGUAGAGUGUGGUAGGGGAGACCGGAAUUCCUGGUGUAGCGGUGGAAGGCGCAGAUAUCAGGAGGAACACCGAUGGCGAAGGCAGGUCUCUGGGCCAUUACUGACACUGAGAAGCGAAAGCAUGGGGAGCGAACAGGAUUAGAUACCCCAGUAGUC